rnacentral:lncRNA from 1 species
AUUCAUUUAGGUUCACAGUUACUGCUACUUUGGAUAGCUCAUAUCUACACUGCUGAUUCCCUAAGGUAAUAUCCUUGAAGGGCUAUGAUGAGAUUGCUGGGGCAGGGGGGAACUUAUUUAAAAACUGGGUUCCCAAAAUAGGCCCCGUCUAACAGCAAUAUGAUGUUACCUACAUACUAGAUCCUUAAACAUAAUGAACACACCUGAGCAAAAUCAGUCUUUACCCAGCUAUUCAACUUCUAUUCAGUCUUCAUUAUUUACUACACACUCUAAGAAAAUUUUAAUGAGGUAGGUGUGUUGAAGGCAAGAAAGGUCUAAUGAUGAAGCACUACAAGGUGCUCACAUGCAUGUAAAUUACCAUGGAAAAACGUCUUAUUCCAAAGUACCAAGGUACCAGAAAAGUGUCAGUUUUAUAUGUAUUCAUUU